rnacentral:lncRNA from 10 species
UUUUGAUACAGGCAUACAAUGUGUAAUCAUCACAUCAGGGUCAUGGGAGGUAUCCAUCAUUUCAAUUAUUUAUCAUAUUUAUCAGUCUUCUAGCUAUUUUUAAAUAUACAAUAAAUUGUUAACAAUAGCUAAUUCAUAAUCACAAUAAGUCUGUCAGUAAUAAUGCUACCGAAUACUAGAUCUUAUUUUUGUACCCAUUAACCACGAGGCUGGGGCUGUUCAUUAGCAUUGCUGAUAACUCUUGAAUGCAGGCAAAUGCUUGGAAUUUUCUUGGAGGUCCUGUCAUCUGAAGAAGUCGGUGCUGUCUGCCAUAAAAGUCGUCUUUGUUGGGGAAUUCUCGGGGCUUCUGACCCAGGUGGACACUCUCG